UCCCUGAUGGUCCAGUGGUUAGGAUUCUGUGCUUUCACUGCCAUAACCCAGGUUCAAUUCCUGGUUGGGGAA
rnacentral:tRNA from 1 species